rnacentral:rRNA from 1 species
AUGCAAGUCGUGGGGCAGCAGGUUUGUAGCAAUACAGAUGCUGGCGACCGGCAAACGGGUGCGUAACACGUACGCAACUUACCCAUUACUGGUGAAUAGCCCAGGGAAACUUGGAUUAAUACACCAUAACACAUAGAAAAGGCAUCUUUUUUAUAUUAAAGCUUCGGCGGUAAUGGAUGGGCGUGCGGUUGAUUAGAUAGUUGGCGGGGUAACGGCCCACCAAGUCUACGAUCAAUAGCUGAUGUGAGAGCAUGAUCAGCCACACGGGCACUGAGACACGGGCCCGACUCCUACGGGAGGCAGCAGUAAGGAAUAUUGGGCAAUGGACGAAAGUCUGACCCAGCCAUGCCGCGUGAAGGAUGAAGGUCCUCUGGAUUGUAAACUUCUUUUAUCUGGGGCGAAAACCUCCCUUUCUAGGGGGCUUGACAGUACCAGAAGAAUAAGCACCGGCUAACUCCGUGCCAGCAGCCGCGGUAAUACGGAGGGUGCAAGCGUUAUCCGGAUUCACUGGGUUUAAAGGGUGCGUAGGCGGGCAGGUAAGUCAGUGGUGAAAUCCCCGAGCUUAACUCGGGAACUGCCGUUGAUACUAUCUGUCUUGAAUACCGUGGAGGUGAGUGGAAUAUGUCAUGUAGCGGUGAAAUGCUUAGAUAUGACAUAGAACACCAAUUGCGAAGGCAGCUCGCUACACGGUCAUUGACGCUGAGGCACGAAAGCGUGU